GUAAAAUUUUUAUACGACUUAUUGUGUCUCAUCGAUUUGAAAAUAUUUUCAGUUGAAGGUCCGGCCAAAAUACGAAAUUUAGACGGUCCAACGACCUUUUCCGUGCAUUUAGGGGUUUGACUUACGGGAUUGACCGUCCGGAUCGAGCCCUUAACCUUGUCGGAUCAAGUUGAAUUUUUUCCCAUACAUGUAUUUUAUCAUGAUGGUCAGAUCUGACCGUCGGAUUUCCUUUUCUCAAGUUUGAUCAUCACAAUCACAACAUGCGUACUAAUGUUGUAUAACUUGUUUACCAAGUGUUAAGUAAAUGUUCCGUUUCAAAAACAAAUUAUACGUAGAACCUUCAAACGUAAAAAAGUCGUGAAAUAAGACAUGACCAGAAUGGUGUAAUACGUCUACGGUUGAAAAAUCACGGUACUCCGGUCAUGUCUCGGUGCCGAUAGUUGCGGUCAAUACAAUUUUCCAUUCUUUCUCCCUAUGGGUAGACCUAUCUUCGGUGGUUAUUUUGCGUAAAAUUUUUAUACGACUUAUUGUGUCUCAUCGAUUUGAAAAUAUUUUCAGUUGAAGGUCCGGCUAAAAUACGUAAUUUAGACAGUCCAAUGACCUUUUCCGUGCGUUUAGGGGUUUGACUUAACAGAUUGACCGUCCGGAUCGAGCCCUUAACCUUGUCGGAUCAAGUUGAAUUUUUUCCCAUACAUGUAUUUUAUCAUGAUGGUCAGAUCUGACGGUCGGAUUUUCGUUCUAAAGUUUGAUCAUCACGAGCAGCAGUCACAGUUUGACGAAUGUAUAAAAAGUUAUAAAGCCGACGAAUUUAAAAGGUUAUAGCCGACGAAAUAAUUAUUUCGUCGGCUAAAGUGUUAUGUUAGCCGUCGAAAUUAUUACCUUUAGCCGACGAAAUAAUUGUUUCGUCGGCUAAAGUGUUCGGGUAUAACCCCGCUCGACUGGUUGUAAACCCUAGCCUCCUUUUCCUCUCCCUCUCCGAAUUUCCCCUCCGAUCCGCCUCCGCUCACUCUCCCGGUCUCGGCCCG
rnacentral:lncRNA from 1 species